rnacentral:rRNA from 1 species
AGUGAACGCUGGCGGUAGGCCUAACACAUACAAGUCGAACGGCAGCACAGUAAGAGCUUGCUCUUACGGGUGGCGAGUGGCGGACGGGUGAGGAAUACAUCGGAAUCUACUUUUUCGUGGGGGAUAACGUAGGGAAACUUACGCUAAUACCGCAUACGACCUACGGGUGAAAGCAGUGGAUCUUCGGACCUUGCGCGAUUGAAUGAGCCGAUGUCGGAUUAGCUAGUUGGCGGGGUAAAGGCCCACCAAGGCGACGAUCCGUAGCUGGUCUGAGAGGAUGAUCAGCCACACUGGAACUGAGACACGGUCCAGACUCCUACGGGAGGCAGCAGUGGGGAAUAUUGGACAAAGGGCGCAAGCCUGAUCCAGCCAUACCGCGUGGGUGAAGAAGGCCUUCGGGUUGUAAAGCCCUUUUGUUGGGAAAGAAAAGCAGCAGGUUAAUACCCCGCUGUUCUGACGGUACCCAAAGAAUAAGCACCGGCUAACUUCGUG